rnacentral:lncRNA from 1 species
UCGGUUCGACUUAUCUCCCGACCUCAUCUAGCCUAUGAUAACUUAUUAGGGUUGUCAAGCCCGACAUUUUAGGAAUACAUAAUUUAUACCAAGUAAUCCAUCUCAAGAAGUCCCAAAUACUCCAUUAAUCACAUCCCCAUCCACUUGUUAAUCUCUCCUAAGGGAUUUAGCCACUCAUGUUAUUCAUAAUCUCAACUUCAAUUGAAUAAACCAUGUGAGAAACACGAUCGAUUUGAAGAAGAAAAGAGGUGUGAAUAAUUGUGGAUUGAGUAUCAAAUGGGGAAUGGAGUAGCAAAUAUCUCAAUUCGAAUAACGAAAUAAAACAAAUGCAACAGAAAAUAUAAACUGAAUACUUUAAUUAAAUAAACAAGUUCUUGAACCAAAACUGAUUCAAGAAGAAAACAAGAACGUAUUUAAAAACUGGAAAAGAAAAUAAACCAAAAUUAAUUCUAAACUACGAGGGUUUUUGAAGGCGUCACACAUGACUUUUUUACAUUCAACCCCUACUGUCUUAUUUAUAGAGGUGUUGGCAGCCUAAAUUAGGUAUUCGGCACGUCCUAGGUCUUUGUAUAAGUUUGAUUGCAUGGACAAAAAUAACCUUAAAAUAUUUGGACAGCACGUCAACCGUGUAUUGUACCACACCCAUUGUGUGGCACAACAUGACAUGCAAAUAUUGUCUUGUGUUGUUUCUUUGGUGUUUUGACGUCCCAAGAAACUUGUGCAUCACUCGACCUUUGCUUCCAAGUCAAUUGGGUCUUUAUAUCUUCAUCUUGUACUCUCAAUUGAACCAAUUAGCACAAUCUAAGUCCCGUGUCGGCCUAUUGGGUCACAACACCUACAAAAUGUGUUAAAAACACUUAUUUUUAUUAACUUUCUAUCCCAAGGCCUAAAUACUGAAAAUAUAAAUUAAAAUCCUAAAUUUCUUAGAAAACAAUAUCCUUAAUAGUGAAAUUGGCCCGUAUUAAUUAAUAUAUUUGACUACAAGUCAAAAGACAUCUUCAUCCUACAACAAUUGCAAAUUCGCUUGGAGCGCAAACAACAUAGACUCUACCCCUUCGUACGCAGUUUAGCGUCUCAAGCAGCAAACCUCCGAUACACUCAAAACUGGUCCAUUUAACUUUGUUUUCUUCUCUAUAAUAUUUAGUUUCUUGUUCGUUGUCUUCUAUAUGUACAAAAAAACAAAAACAAAAAGAACGUCUAUAUUCUAGAUUCUCUUUUAACCCUCCCAAUGCCUUGAUCUGUUUUUUGUUGCCUCAAGAUGCAUUUAUUGGCAUCCCUCCAUCAAAUAUCCAUUUGUCUCAUACUACAUAUCUUUCAAAAGGGCAAGAAAAAGAAAAUAUUUCUCGUUUAGGGAAGACUAUAUCGCUUAUUGUUGAAAUUCAAGCACCCAAAUAAAUGAAAUUUAGCAAAAUUCAAAAGUGAAAUAAUUUUAUUGAAAGAACGAUAUCAUUUUGUUGGAAGAAGGAAGAAGAGAAAUAAUUUUUAAAGGAGAUUUUGGUGGAGGAAGAGAAAUAAAUUUAGGGAGAAAAUUUUAAAACUCACUUCUAUUAUAAAUUUUUUUGUUUCUUUUUUAUUUUUUGCUUGG